UAACAAGAGCUGCACUCUCUACUUUAUUGGGCUGCUGUGAGGAAGGGGUUAAAGAACUCUACAGCUUUCGUUAUUAGGUCCUAGUUCCCUAAACUUCUAUUCUUGACUGUCUCAGUGGAUGGCUUCGCUUCUUCAUGACGCAGGGGGAAAGAAAGACAGGUAAUGAGUUAAUUAAUAUUAAUUAACUCCAAAUGCCAAUUUCUGGACCCUGCUGAGUGAACAAUCCUGACCAAGAUUGGUAAUGAUCACCAAGUAUAUCUCAGUGAAGCAAGCAGGUGCCUGUUCUCAUCCUGUCAGCAUCCCAUCCACAUCUUACAUCCAGCACUUGAGUGGCUAAAUGAAAGCGUGUCGAAUUGAGCCGGCUUCUCCUUAAAUAUGGACUUGCUGAGGUGGGAGUCAUGGAGGCAAGUAAGCGAGCAAGGACAUCUGAAAAGCCCCCAGAGAAACAAGCCAUCCACAUGCGAUUUGAGGAAUGGGGAGUGGGGAACUCUCUCCUUCCCCGAUCCUGGGAGUCUCUGAAAUUGCCCGGGGCCUUUAUUGUCCUGAGUGAUGGAUCCAGGUGAACCAGGACCAAUCUGCCAGAGACUGCAGGUGGAGAAAAACUGAGGAAAGGAGUUUUGUGCCUGUUAUCCAAGUGAUUGUGAUGCCAAGUCUGGAGCUGAUGAAAGCAAUUGGAUGAACCCCAGAA